rnacentral:rRNA from 1 species
UACGGGGGGAGCAAGCGUUGUUCGGAUUUACUGGGCGUAAAGGGCGCGUAGGCGGCCUCCGCAAGUCAGUUGUGAAAUCUCCGAGCUUAACUCGGAAAGGUCAACUGAUACUGCGGGGCUAGAGUGCGGAAGGGGCAACUGGAAUUCUUGGUGUAGCGGUGAAAUGCGUAGAUAUCAAGAGGAACACCUGCGGCGAAGGCGGGUUGCUGGGCCGACACUGACGCUGAGGCGCGAAAGCGUGGGUAGCAAACAGG